CACAAAAGGAGGGAGGGAGAGCGCGAGAGACAGAACUUCCUCCACCUUCAGGAGAGCAGAGCAAAGUGGGGGGCUUGGAGGGCAGGCUGAAACACCGGGCGAGCUCUGCGGCCAGGCUAAGGUUAGAGGGGGCGCACACAGCCUGUCCCCCAUUCUGCUCAGCUUGCCAAUCCUCUCCUGGUGUAUCUGUCGGUUGCAGUGUCGGAGGCUGGAGCCGGCCCCCGCCUUCCGCGCCCCCCACGGGACGAAAGCACCCCCUGUAUUAAAAAGAGCGCAGCAGAAAGAAGUCCUCAUUCGCCGGCCAGGAGGCGAGCCAAUGCCGAGCUGCACCGCGUCCACCAUG
rnacentral:other from 1 species